rnacentral:misc_RNA from 1 species
GAUGAAGAACGUAGCGAAAUGCGAUACUUGGUGUGAAUUGCAGAAUCCCGUGAACCAUCGAGUCUUUGAACGCAAGUUGCGCCCGAAGCCAUUAGGCCGAGGGCACGCCUGCCUGGGCGUCACACGUCGUUGCCCCCCCAUCUACUCCUUCGGGAUUGCGGGGGGCGGAUGAUGGCCUCCCGUGCGCCUCGCCGCGCGGUUGGCAUAAAUGCCAAGUCCUCGGCGACGCACGCCACGACAAUCGGUGGUUGCGAAACCUCGGUUGCCCGUCGUGUGCGGUCGUCGCGCAUCGAGGGCUCGAAAAAAUUGCCGGGUUCCGGCUCGGCUUUCAACGCGACCCCAGGUCAGGCGGGGUUACCCGCUGAAUUUAAGCAUAUCAUAGCGGAGGA